GCCAGAGUUUCAGGAGAAAAGAAUGAGAAACUGGAGGCAUGACAGACACAUAGCAUUCAGAAGAAUGCCCCUGUAGGGCCUAUAUCACUGUCUUCUGUCUACAGACCUCCUCCUUUUGAUGGCAUUUUCUCUCAACUCAUUUUGCUGGGAGCUCCUAAAUAUCUCUCAAGUUUUCAUUAUGAUACGGCUGUCAAGUUAAAUUGGAACAGAUACGGAAGAUGGGGACUUGACCUGUGAUUUCAUUGAUAGAGAGAAUUCUCCCUAUCAAUUCAGGUUAGCAUGCCCACAUUCAACAUGAAGUCUAAAAAGAGUUAGCUAAGGCACAGGGAACUUUGGUGACUUACCCAGUAUGUGUAACAGGCAGGACUCGAAUCCAAAUCUUCUUGUUCUUGUGAUCAGUUCUCUAUUUUCUGUAGCUCACAAUUAUAUAUACAUGAUAAUAAUCCUUUCAGCACCAGCAAGUUCCACUUUCUAAGCCACCAUGUAUUCCACAUUUACAGAAACAUAUCUGGAUCCUUUAAGGUCAUCAAUAUCUCCUCCAAUAUCAAUCAA